CCUACGGGUGGCAGCAGUGAGGAAUAUUGGUCAAUGGUCGGGAGACUGAACCAGCCAAGCCGCGUGAGGGAUGAAGGUACAGAGUAUCGUAAACCUCUUUUGUCAGGGAACAAAGGCGGGGACGUGUCCACGGAUGAGUGUACCUGAAGACAAAGCAUCGGCUAACUCCGUGCCAGCAGCCGCGGUAAUAGGGAGGAUGCGAGCGUUAUCCGGAUUUAUUGGGGUUAAGGGGUGCGCAGGCGGUCUGGUAAGUCAGCGGUAAAAGCCCGGGGCACAACCCCGGCCCGCCGUUGAAACUGGCAGUCUCGAGUUGGAGAGAAGUAUGCGGAAUGCGCGGUGUAGCGGUGAAAUGCAUAGAUAUCGCGCAGAACUCCGAUUGCGAAGGCAGCAUGCCGGCUCCACACUGACGCUGAGGCACGAAAGCGUGGGUAUCGAACAGGAUUAGAUACCCCUGUAGUC
rnacentral:rRNA from 1 species